rnacentral:lncRNA from 1 species
UAGAAAAGCAUCGAUAUUUACAACAUCCAAUUAGUUUCACUAAAUCUACCAUGAGAUAUGUCUAGCAUUUAUUUGGUAAUAUAGAUAUUGAUAUAACUUUUUAGGAAUUUGACCAACUUAGAGCAAAGCUAAUAAAGUCAACUAAAUUUAGGGGGAGUACUAAAUCUGGUUUAUCCUCCAGCAAAAAUAAUGCCAGCAGGAAGACUACAGAUAAAUAUACACAUUUUUUGUACGGAAAAAGACUGAUAAUGUUAACAAGUUGUUUUAUACCUAAACCCUCCCCAUCAGUUAUCACAUCCUCUUUGGAAGGAUCCUAAUCCUAUCAUCAAAUACACUCGGCGAGUGGCGAGCUUCCGUUGGUUGCAUUUCGCGAGUCGCGAGUCCUCUAUCCAUCUCCCCAAGUGCGAAGACGUACCCCGCGGUCGGUCACCACACGGUGAAGGGUAACUUUCCAGACCGCUGUACAUCCCGCGUCCGCC